UUUUGCGAUUACAAUAAUUGGCUAUUCAUUAUUCAUAGGUCUUUUAUCAGUUUUAACUUCUGUAUAUACGAAGUCUAACAAUUUAGGUACAUUACUUAAUGUCAAACAUACUAUGUAAAUAUGGCAAGAACAGCAUGACCAUUGUUUUGUGUAUAUCACAUUGUUAACUGACGUUGUACGUAAUAAUUGGCUUACUAUAUACGAUAAAUUUAAUUUUGGUAGUAGGUACUAAUAUUGUUGUUCGCACUUUUAUUUAAGCAAACCCAUUUUUAACAUUCUAGCCAUUGAGAAGUUAUUGUAAUGAGUUCCAAAAUCAAAAAUAUAGUUUUUAACAUAUUUAGAAAUGGUGAUAAGAGUUGCAACGUAAUUCGGACAAUUAUAUGUAUGAGUGUGAGUGUGUGUGCAUCUGUGUGUGUACAUAAAUACAACUCGUUUCAAACGGGUAGAGAUGUGACCUUGAGGAAAGCUGCCCGAAUAGAAGGAAUACACACUAAGCAUAGGCAAAACAGAAAUAAAUACAAACAAUGUACACUAUUUUUUGUCAGAUUUGUGCGGAAAACUCGUCAUUAAAUUGAUAGUUGGCGAAAUAAGAGUAAAUUAUUUAGAGGUUAGGAAGUCAAAAAAAUUAUACCGACUUCAUUGAGGUACCGAAUAAAGCAUAUUAAUAACAAUCUGAUCUGAAAGAAACUCAUAUUUAGUCAAGCCGUUUACGUAUAUGUUUAACCGAACAGACUUGAAAAAAAAUUAGAUUUGGGAAGUUUUGUAAACAAAAUCAUAAAUUUAUUCAGAUUGUUAUAUUAAAGCAUCAUAUAAUAAUUCUGCACUAAUGGAUGUUUUAUUUAAACGUCAAUGAAAACCAAAAAUAAUUUAUUUUCAACAACCUGAGUUAAAAAGAAAAGGACAUAGACAGACGGUCUCCACAAACCUAACACACUUUUGUUUUUUCAUUCCUAUUCGACUAUAUACAAUAGAUUGUAGUAGCUAUGACGGUGAUAUUGAUGGUUUAAUGUAUCUAUGGAAUAUUAUCAUGCUAUUAUUAAUAAGAUGAUAAUAUACUGCUUGUUUGAAUAAUAUAGGGUGUUUCUGAAAUAAUUUUAGAAACACCUUGUAUAUUAAUAUUAAAAUUAAAACGAUGUACAAAAUGCGAAGGUCGAGUUGUCACCGGCUGGUCCAUAUAGUCGAGUUCGCAAAAUAAUUGAUUCUCAGAUUAAUAAAUUGCUAUUGUAAUAUAACAGAUUAAUGUAAUAUGUUAAGUAAAUUGUUAACCAAUAAUUUAUAUGAUAUAUGUGUGUACAUAAUAAAAAGUACAAGGUGCACAAGCAAAUUUCUAGAUUUGAAAUACUUAAAUUCUUUCAAAACGUUUAAUUAUAACAAAACUUCAACGACUUCGUAUUUUAUGCAUUUGUAAAUUAAUUUUUGAAUAAUUUUACCCACUAUAGUUAACUUAAAAUUAAUAUGAAAUAAGCUACGAAACCAACGUAUGUGCAGAGUAUUAUUAGCAAUGAGGCACUGAAUUUUUGUAGAGUUUUUGAGUAUUGGCUUCGUAUUUUGUUUCAGUUUUCAGGACAAUUAAAUAUCAUGUUUUGUAAUUUAUUCAUUUUAAGCAUAAGGUUAUUUUUAUUAACGUUGUUUGCAGAAUAGACAUUAUCCACCAAUGUAAUGCAACUAGAAAUUAUAUUUUUUUUUAUUAGAUGAUUAUUUGAAGGUAAUAAAAUGCUCCUACUCUCGUUCCUGUUUAGAUAAGAAUUUCGCGUCACUGCAAAUUACAGGAACCUAAAAGUUUUGAGCUUUUACUGAAGUUCACAAAGCUUCCAAGGGAUCUGUCAUUAUUGCUAUACGAUUCAUGGCGAAUUGCGAUCUGGUUCUAUCGUUGCCCUCUUGUAUUUUGCUUCUGCAACAUUUCCACGAGCAGUCCAGCAAUAAUCCGUCAACAUUGAAACGUUCCAAUGGCCUUGAUACCGUUUUUCCACGUUUACGAUAUCCUGAUGGAAGCGCUCCCCAUGUUAAUCGCUAAAAGCACCACAAUUACCCGGAAAGAAGUUCACAUGAGAAUGUACUAAGUGAAUUUUCAAGGACAUGUUACAACUCAGUUUUUGAAAUGAUAACAUAUUUUCGAUAAGUUCAGCACAGUUGUCACUCCUCUUAUAUCCCAAGAAGUUUUUUACGACAAGGCGAAAAUCGUCCAAGGCUUUUUUCUUCUAGAACCAAGUCAAAGUAGUUAUCUUUAAAUAAAUUUUUUAUUUGAGGACCGACGAAUAUACAUUCCUUGAUCUUAACUUCAUUUAAUCUUAGAAAUUCGUUUGAACAUUUAAAAGAAAUCAAAUUUCGGUAUUGCUUUAUACAUAUAUAUCAUCCAUAGCUGUAAAACAUCCUAUGCUAAUAGUAAGAGAAAGAAUGAUUCUUAGGGUACUAGUUGACGAUCUUUCUAUUCAUUGACGGGUGGCUGAUGGUUUUAAGUUUUAAAUUAUUAAGUUAAGUAGUAAAACAUAUCAAAUGAUUUUAUAUUUUCGAAAAUUCAUAUUAUUUCAAUUGAUAUUUAUAUAUUAUUUAUUUAUAUUCAGUUUUUCCUUCCACUCCCCUUCCGGACUAAUAGUACCAAUACUCCCCUAACUGCUGACAGUGCUACCGAUAACCGCCGGGCCCUGUGCUCUU